UCUGAUCAAUGAUGACUUAUUGUCAAAUAAGGACUGUUGGAUGAAGCUUGCGGAUAUGGGACUGAGAUCAGCA